rnacentral:tRNA from 1 species
GCCCAGGUGGCGGAAUUGGCAGACGCGCCAGCUUGAGGUGCUGGUGGUGUAACAACCUUGGAGGUUCGAGUCCUCUCCUGGGCA